UACGUAGGGGGCGAGCGUUGUCCGGAGUUACUGGGCGUAAAGCGCUUGUAGGCGGUCCACCAAGUUUGGGGUGACAGUUGCCGACUUAAUCGGCAAAGUGCCUCAAAGACUGGCGGACUUGAGGGCCACAGAGGGACAUGGAACUCCAGGUGUAGCGGUGAAAUGCGCAGAUAUCAGGAGGAACACCGGUGGCGAAGGCGGGUCUCUGGGCCGAUACUGACGCUGAGGAGCGAAAGCGUGGGGAGCGAACAGG
rnacentral:rRNA from 1 species